rnacentral:lncRNA from 1 species
GUGGUUGGAGGAUUGGUAGGUCCAUUAUCAUAUGUCACACGAUUAUCAAGUGCAGAUAAUACUCCCCUAGAUGACUAUAACAAAGUAUAUUUAGUUUCAAACAUUUAAAAAGUGUAAGCUAACAUAUAUAACAGAUCAUCCCCAUGGCAAAAAAUUGAGAAUACAUAUGAGAAAUUGAUACCUCCAUGUAGACAGUGGUUGCAUUGAGAGUUGGACCAGGCAUUAGAGCAGUGACAAAUACAGCAACUGAAAUCUUUUCGAGAAAACUUUCCAUGGCUUUAGAUAUGGCUAACCCACCAUGGCUAUGGCCAACAAGAACCACUUUUUCAUGUGCUGGAAGAGAAGCCAUGAACUUCAUUAGUGGACUAAAGUAAUCGGAUAAAUGUUGGACUUGGAGGACCUGCUUAGGGUUGAUUCCUGAAGCACCCAAGUCAAUAGCUGUGACAUUAUGUCCUGAAGAUCUCAUUAAUGCCACAAUCUUGUACCAAGACCAGGCUCCAUUGCCUGCCUUGUGAACUAGCACAAAGUGCUUGCUAGCUUUAGGAAAUUUAGACCCUGACAAGGUUGCAUUUACAUAUGGCAACAGAAGUAUUAGAACUACUAGACUUGUUAGAUACAUAUUUUUCUCCAUGUCUUUGUAUCCUUCUUUUGAAGAAUGAGCACAUAAAGGUUUCUUAACGGAUGUGUCAAGUUAAUAUGGCCCUAGUAAAAUGAAACCGAGGGAGAAGAUGAAGAAAUUGAAUUGAUUCAUGAUGGUAUUUAUAGCUUUGGAAAAAGGAAUUGCAUUUCGUGUUUGAGCAUUUUAAAAAAAAUAAAUUAAAGUGCACGUAGCAUACAAUCUUUAAUGAAAGGUGGCAUUUAGAUUUUAGUUCCUCCUAACCUAAAUUUUCGGCUAGCUAGCUAGGACCAAGUUUUGGUAACAGUGAUAAAUAAAAAGUGUAAGGAUUUAAUUGUUGAGAAAAGUAUGAGCUUGAAGAGAAAGAGGGUCCUGGGAGGGGGUAAGAGUGGCUAUAAUUUUAAUGGUUCGACUCACAUAGACCUCCUUACACUCUGCUACUAUGACCUGCAUUUGUACACAAUAACUCCCAGUUCCUGCACUGUUUAUUCAUUUAUAAAGUUGUGGAUUGAGGUAAAUGGCAUCAACGAGCUUUUGCUCAUCUACAGCAUAUUCCUCAUUCAUAUUGUCCUCCUCCCCAUUGACGAGAUUUAACUGUUUGGUCUUGAACUAAAUUUAAGUAAUUACAGGAAAUUGAGGUCCUUUAUUGAUGUAAAUUUCAAACACUGAAAUAACAAUGAAGGAAAUAACAACCGAAAGAAAAUUGAAAUAUCAAAUUAACUAGGACUUCUAUGGAAGAAACUGAGUCGUCAUAUAAAUGCAUCAAAUAUGUGAAUUGACUGAAGUUUUAUUCUCAGCCUUAAGCCUGUCCCCCUUAUUCUUCUUAACUAACAGCUCUUAAUUAGCUAUACUUGUUGGCAAUGCUCAGAAGAGUAGUAAAAAGUUGUUUGGGCUUAGACAUAAUCAUCAUGUGGUCGGAGCCCUGGAUCUCUUCCACUUCAUUUGAUGGAUUCUUUUCAAUCAUCAAUUUUAGAAAUUCCUUUGUCAGGGCAUUAUUUUCAGCAGCAACAAUAAACACUCGCCUAACUAAUCCAUAUCUUUUCCUUGUAAGAACUAUCUCCUUAGAAACAUCUUCCGCGUUGUAUAAAUAAAAUGGCCUUACUAGUGUAGUGGCCAGUGCCAAAUCCUAACACCAAGAAGGAAAAACAUGAUUUAAAUUAGGCUUAGUUGAUGUUGCGGGUUAAGUACUUGAAUAGAUCUGUAAUUUGUAUAAACUACUGAAAUCUUCCAAUAGCCAAUAGGUGAUGCCUACUAGUAAUUGUUUGCCAAAGAAGUCAGUCAGUCAUUUAGGGCCAUUCUCAUGACCAGAAUAACAUAAUGUAUUCGCUACUUCAAUUACAAUAUAAAUUUGUAUUAUGAUUUGCUUACCUCAUUCGAACUCAGCUGGUAAAAAUUAGUUGCCAAGUACUUUGGACCUGAGAUGAGGGUGGUUGGAGGAUUUGUAGGUCCAUUGUCGUAUGUAACAUGAUUAUCAAGUUGAGUGCUUACUGCACUGACUACCUAUAACGAAGUAUAUUUAGUUUCAACCAUGUAAAAGUUUAAACAAACUUAAUAGAUCAUCUCAUGGCUUAAAGUUGGGAAUAUGGAAAAUUGAUACCAUAGUGUAAAGGGUGGCUGCAUUGAUAUUUGGACCAGGCAUUAGAGCAGUGACAAAUACAGCAACUGAAAUCUUUUCUGGGAAAGUUUCCAUGGCUUUAGAAAUGACGAGUCCACCAAAGGCAUGACCUACAAGAACUAUUUUUUUAUCUGCGGGAAGUGAAGCCAUGAACUCCAUUAGCGGACUCAAGUAAUCAGAAAAAAAUGGGAUUUCAAGGGCCUGUUUGGGGUUGAUCCCUGAAGCACCCAAGUCAAGAGCUGUUACAUUAUGCCCCGAAGAUCUCAUCAAUGCCACAAUCUUGUACCAGGACCAUGCUCCGUGGAAUGCCGUAUGAACUAGCACAAAAUGCUUCUUAUCUUUAGGGGGUGAUGAAAAGGUUGCAUUUGCAUAGGGCAACAGAGACUCGCUUUUCUCCAUAUCUUUUGAAGGAUAUGAGCACAUAAUAUGAACUAUUACAUGGCAACUUUAUAAUAGGAGGAGUUAGGUUUCUGCCAACUUACUUUCUAUUUUUGGAGGAGUUUUGACUCUUGCCAAUUUACUUCUAUGCAGGAGCAACCCUACAUUAGCUAUUAUUUGCACUAGUU